rnacentral:lncRNA from 1 species
GGGGAAUAUGUGGGGAGCCACUCUGAAUGAUUCGUGUCUUCCAGGGUGGAGAGGCUUUGACCAUCACUACGUCUCAUAGUGACUUGGACGUUGCCCAGGUCCCAGAAGUUUAAGGAUGUGUCUUCAGACACAGGUGUCGCCCAACAGCCCUUGGGUCAAAUUACACUCACAUGUCCCUUGUAACUCCACCCCUUCUUUUCUUUUUUGGAAGGAACUUUCUAAGAAUGAGGUCCUCCCAAUAAAAGGCCACUUCCAAACGUUCUCUCUCCGCGCCCCCCUCUCUCUCUCCCCAGCCUCUCGUGACUAUCCCUCAAACUCCCAUUUGGGAAAUUUGAGGCUGAGAAUGGAGGACCUGUCCUGAAGCUUGUUUAAAGGUAAAGUGUGUGUGUCUGUGUUUUACUUGGUGUCCCUGGAAAUUCACACGAGAAACCACAAGUUCAUCUGCCUUGCAGCACAUUAUGAAU